rnacentral:rRNA from 1 species
CUUGACCUCAAAUCAGUAGAUACCC